CUGGGGGCGGGGCCAGACAAAAGGGGCGUGGUCAAGAAAGGGGCGGGCAGAAUAAAAGGGGCGGUGCGCGGCCACUUAACGGUCCUUGCACCAGGUGUUCUUUGGGGGCGGGGUGCGUCUGUGGGGUUGCGCGGAACGCGGCCAGCAGGAUGGAGCCGGCAGGCCUGAGUGUCUUGGUGAAUUAAAUCCUUUUUGAUGAAUCUUGCCUGACACAAGUCACAAGAAACCUUGAUGAUGACUUUAGCCACUCCUAUGAAGCACCAUGGCAGCUCUUUUCUUUUCAAGUGAAAAAUAGUAAUUUUCCACAGGAAGAAGGAGAUCAAAGCAAGAAACUCCGAUUUGAAAGAUUUUUGUUACCCGUUGUCUUGGAUGGAACAUCUAGUGGUGGCAAAUGCAGCAGCGUCUAGGACUAGACUUGUAAACAGAUGUUUCAGCAGCCUCAAGCACCAUGUGAUGUGGCCAGAGACUGCUGUUCCCAAAGAAGAAUGUGCCCAAAACAGAAGAACUGGUCACGUGGGAAGAUCUGCCUUUUUGCAGUGGCUCACAGAGCUAAUGAAUGGCCCAGAGGUAGUCUGCAUUCCUGUUCUUGGAGUCAGCUGUGCAUGCAUGUAAGUACAUACAUGAAGGUUCUGCAGGUUUAUUCCAUGUCAAAAAAGUACUAAGAAUAAUAACAUGUAUUAAAACAAUGCAAAGGUUGAAUGUGAAGGUUAUGUUAGAAAAAUACUGCUUUCCCUAUUUAGUUUCCUUGUGUGUGUUUGUGCGUACAUGUAUUUUCAUAUAUUUCAAUAACACUAACAACGCAAGAUUUUUGUGGCUUAUGCUCCUAUCUGACUGUACUUCUAGUUGCUCUAGAACAAACCAGUGCAGUUAGAGUGGCUUUUCCCAUUCAAGUGAGGCCUGUGUUUACUGACCUCUACCUUGGUUUCUUUGCUCCACAGUGCUAAAAGCAGAAACCUGAAGCAGCUGCUAAGCAUUGGUUGUUCUGCUCAGUGUUUCUCUACUACUACAGACUAUUCCAUCAGGCUUAUAUGGGGCUUAGUCCUGACAGCAGUAUAGUAGAGUGUUUCUGUUGCACCAUGAAGAACUUGAGAGCAUCAAGGCUCAGGUUGUACAAGUCCACUCAAACACAGGUCAGAUAAAUGUCCCAGUAUGGCUCUUCUGUCACCCUGUCACUAUGCGGCCUUAGCACUUCAGCCUCUGAGACGCCCUUCUCCUUGUUUAACCCCAUGACCUUCCUGGUAGAUAGGAGGCAGGUUUUUUAACAAGAGUUGAUUACGUAGCCAAAAGCCACCAUCCCACAAUAUAGAGAAAGGGCAGCCUUGGCCAUCUGCCCAUCCUGGUUCAGUGGCAAAGUAAAGGCAGCAAUUAGAGGUAAAAAAGCAGUAUAUGAGAAAUUGAAAAAGGGAAGUAGAUAGCAAUUUAUAUGAAUCAAAAGUUAUGAAGUGUAAAAAAUCGAUAAGCGAAGUGAAGGACAUUGGAAGAAAAUCCAUGGCUGGAAGGGCUAAGGGCCAUAAAGAAGAGUUUUUUAAAUAUUUAAGAAAUAGAAGAAAAAUGACCACUUGUAGGGGGACUCUUUUAUGUUGUAGAUGAUUAAACUAUUAAUAGAAUGAGGAAGCAAAAGUCCGCAGUGAGUAUUUCUGUCCUGCAUUUAGAAUAUGAAGUGUUAUGUACCUGUCUUAUAUGAAGAUGAUGAGACUCCUUAUUCUCUUGUUUCCACAAGACAAUCAGACAUCUGUUGGGGACAGACUCCACAGGAAUCAGUAGAUAUUGAUAACUUGGCUUUUAGAGUUUUAAAAUUGCUGGCAAAGGCCCACCUAGGGCAGAUAAAUAAUUGCUAAGUGUAGAUAUGUUUGAGAAAUUUGAGAUGGCUGGAAAAGUUCUAAUGAAGCAUAUACUUUCCCUGUUUGAUAAUUGCCAUUGAUGUGAACCAGAGUAAAAUAAAGGAAGAGGAAAUGCAAUGUUCAAUUAAAACUUAAGAGGUGGUAUUACAACUACUGCCAGGCUGCACAAUAUUUUAGAAUGGAGGUCUUGUCAAACAAACCUGAUUUCAUUCUCUGAUGAGAUUACAAGUUUGGUUGAUAAAGUUAACUGCAUAGAUAUAAUAGACUUAGUCUUUUAUAUGGCACUUGGCUUAGCACCACAGGACAUUCUCAUUAAAAAAUUAGCACCAUGCAAUAUCAAUAAAGCACACUUUCAAUUGAUUAGUUACUGGCCAGAUGACAGAUUUCAAAGUAGCUAUCAGUGGUGAAUCAUCCCUGGAGGAAGAGAUUUCUGGUGGAAACCCACAGGGAUCAGUAAAACAACAGAUGCUACUCAACAUUUUUAUCAAUUAUCUGUAAGUGAUUUUGUUCUUUCUUUCUUUAACUUCUUUCUUUCCAAUUGCUGCUGCUAAGAUGUGUGGAUGACAAAGCAGAACAGAAAGGUUUAAAACAGUGAGGAUAGAGUAGCCUCACAGAGAGUUCUGGACCACUUGCUUAUAUUUGAAGUAACACCGAUAGCCCAGGAAUGCAACUAUGAAAUAGGAACUAUAUCAUGUCAAGCUGUCAGGUGCAAAAGGACCUGGGAUCAUAGGACACAGCUCAGAAAAGCUCUGUCUGCAGGCUGAUUGAACUCAGGCAAACUAUUGCUUGGGAUAUGGUACCUUUCUUUUCUUUUUAAAUUAAGAGAAUGAUCAAUUUUUAGAGUCAACUAUUGUGAAAGAUGUGGAUUUCCCCAUAUUUAAGGCCUUCGGCUUUAUACUGAGUGUCUUUCUGGAAAGUGCCUUGAGCUGAACACAGAUACCGGACUCACUGCUGGCCUGCAAGGGUGAACUGCGUAACCUACAUGUUGCAGUUUGGCAAGAUCAGAUGCGAGACAGUGAGACUCAAGGGAUGUAGAGGGAGCCCUCGUCACACAAUAGCUUCAGCAGUUUCCCUUCAGAAGGAACUCCUGAGCAAAUAUAUGUCCAGUACAACAUCAGUACAGCACACACAACCUUGUGUCUCCCAUGGGCACAGGCUUCCAGCCUGCUGGCCCGAGGGCUGCAAACCUCCCCCCACUGAGAUGGAGGCUGAGGGCCCUUGUCUCUCUCAUCCUCUUCCCAAAAAGAAACAAAACAGGCAGCAUCAGGCUUCUGCUAGCACGUCUUAUCCUCUACCAUUCAGACAGGGGUGGGGAGGGGGGAAUUCAGUGUCAGUGGUCACUAAACACUUACAGCAGCAGACCAAGCAGCCUUAACCACACAGGAUUUUUUGUUUGUUUGUUGGUUUGUUGGGUUUUUUGUUUGUUUUUGUGGGAUCUGAGACUAAGAUUAGAGUUUCCCUAUUUGCUAUAACUGCCCAACACUACCCUUAUCUAAACUCAUGGCACAAGGCCUUUCUUUUACUGCUGGAAUCCAGCCUACCUCUGGCAGGUCCCACUCCCCAGUUCAGGGCCAGUUUGCAGUUGAUGCCAUAGUGGCAGCAGGCCAUGCUUCUCUCUCCUCUCCAGCUUGGAGUCCCUACCUUCCUUGUCUCUUGUGGGUGACAGAGAAAUGUGAAGAUGCUAUACAACACGGGCAAAGCACAGUCUCAAGCACUGGGGCCUAAGUUCCUCCCAACCCAGAUAACAGCAUGCGCAAUGACUCUCUGAUCACAAGGCUGCCUGGGCCAG